AUGGCACUACCUGGCUUCUCACAGGCUGCCUGGAGCCUGGAGCCUCCAGCUCCCACAGCUACCUCCUCGUCUUCAGGACUUCAGGUACAGGAUGGUGCCAGGAGCCCUGUGGCACCACAGGGGCUUCCCCUGGAGAAGGUGAAGCGACCCAUGAACGCGUUCAUGGUAUGGAGCUCCGCUCAGCGCCGCCAGAUGGCGCAGCAGAACCCAAAGAUGCACAACUCCGAGAUUUCGAAGCGCCUGGGUGCUCAGUGGAAGAUGCUGGGUGAGGAGGAGAAGCGGCCCUUUGUGGAGGAGGCCAAGCGGCUGCGCGCCCGGCACCUGCGCGACUAUCCCGACUACAAGUACCGGCCCCGGCGCAAGACCAAGAGCUCAGGCGCUGGCCCUCCGCACUUCAGCCAGGGAGGAAGCGGUGAGGUCUGCAGGGGGCCGCACUGGGGGCCAGGGUACACUACCACCCAAGGGAGCAGAGGAUUUGGGUACCAGCCCCCAAACUACUCUACAGCCUACUUGCCUGGAAGCUAUGGCUCUUCCCACUGUAGACUGGAGGCUCCCUCAUCGUACUCCCUCCCUCAGAGUGACCCUGGGCUCCAGGGGGAGCUGCUUCCUCCUCAUGACCCAUACCUACCCUCAGGCUCUCCCACUCUUACAACACUCCCCUGGCUGGUGUCCCCAUGCCCCUAA